UGGGGAAUUUUGCGCAAUGGGGGAAACCCUGACGCAGCAACGCCGCGUGGAGGAUGAAAUAUCUUGGUAUGUAAACUCCUUUCGAUAGGGAAGAUUAUGACGGUACCUAUAGAAGAAGCCCCGGCUAACUUCGUGCCAGCAGCCGCGGUAAUACGAGGGGGGCAAGCGUUGUUCGGAAUUAUUGGGCGUAAAGGGUGCGUAGGCGGUUUGAUAAGUCUGGUGUGAAAUCUUUGGGCUCAACCCAAAGUCUGCACUAGAAACUGUCGGGCUUGAGUAUGGGAGAGGUGAGUGGAAUUUCCGGUGUAGCGGUGAAAUGCGUAGAUAUCGGAAGGAACACCUGUGGCGAAAGCGGCUCACUGGACCAUUACUGACGCUGAUGCACGAAAGCUAGGGGAGCAAACAGGAUUAGAUACCCCUGUAGUCC
rnacentral:rRNA from 1 species